CUGCACUGUUCGUAACCUGGUUCACUCUCAGUAUGAAUUUUGGGUUCCAUUCCAGUGCUAUAUGAAUCCACCCAGUGAGGCAGGGGAGUUGUCUGCCUGUGCUGUCUCCCUGUUCACUCUCUGGGUACAUGU